CAAACUCCCGUCUGAUCCAAUCAGAGCCGAGGGAAGCUGCGGAGACGGCAGCUGUACGGCAGAGGACAGGGUCAUAAAGCGCAGAGGGCCGAAAGAGGAAGUCAAGGGACCUGGUUUCCCAGAGACUAUGGGUUGAGGAGGAAUUGGAAGUUUGUCGGCUUAGACCUGGUGUCAUUCCAUCAGUGUUAAACUUCCCGGCUCAUCUUGGAAGAGUAUGUGCCAGAAAGACCAUGACCAAGCAGCCUUGAGAUCUUAGGCAGCGUCUCCCUGAGACCAAAGAACUACUAACUCUUCACAACCUGCUCAAACUCUUGGUACAGGACCUCACCACACGGGUCAAGAAGGUUUCUGUCUCAUUUCUACUCUGAAGAUCACCUUCUCCUACUCAAACUGCUGACAAAUGUUUCUACUGCUCUAAAAUCUGUGUAACCCAUAUGAAAACGCAGUGUUGGGUUUACUUAGCAUAUUUGAAUUUUUAGUUUCUGUAACUUUAAUUUAAAUAUCGGAAUUUAUUAAUAUAGCUGUAAUAGGAUGAUUGUAGUCACUUUAAGCAGCCGCUAGGUGGCUCUGUGCGCUCAGUGUAGAGAAUCUAGUAGACGUGCGCAUUGCAUGCUGGGAUAUAGACACCCCAGCUAAGCCAGAUUCUAAAGCUGCUACAGUACAUUCAUCACAGUUAUUGAUAUUUUAUUUAAGAAAAACCGCUUUAAUUUUAAAGUUAAGAGUGUGUACAUGUUUUGAGGUGUCCCGAAAGAGUCCCACACCGCUGCGACGGCAGGAUUUGUUUUCUUUUGUUUUUCUCCACCGAGGACUCCGAUUGGUUUUUUCUUGAUGCUGGAUCUACAGUCAGUGGACAGCAGUGAUUCCAACCAGGGUUAAAGAGGAUCCAGAAUUCUCCAUCUUCAUCAUCUUCAUGAAGAUUCAUGUUGGCAGAUAAGAUUUAAACGGCGCGCAGUAACCAUACAAACACACACACACUACCCGGGUAGAACACAAUAUACACACACAC
ensembl:lncRNA